UCCAGGUUUUUGGUCGAAAAAAUUUGACAUUGAAUUUUCCAUAGUUGGUACGAAUUUUGGGAAGAGAAAAAGUAGAUUUGGAAGCCACACGUGUUCCAUAUUGAUGCCUAGUAUUAACCGAGGUGAAGAAAUCAUUAAAAUUGUUAGGUAGAUUGCCAUUGUUGAACUGAUAUAUAAAAAAAGAUGUAUCAAGAUAGACAAUAUCAAUCAGUUUCAGCAAGUUCAGUCUCUUAAAA